rnacentral:lncRNA from 1 species
GGAACUUUCCUGUCACACAGGACUCCUGAUGCAAACCUCCACUUUGACAACCCCGCUCCUAUACGAUGAGUGACGUCCUCGUUAAUCUCUCCGUCCCCCUGAAUCACCGACCCAAGAUAUCUGACACUGUCCCUCUUGGCGAUGACCUAAGAUCCAAUCAUCACGUCCAUGCCUACUUCGCUCGGCUCAACACUAAAAUCCACAAAGAAUAAGGAAAUA